CGGCGGCGGCGCACGCUACAGGACGUCGAAUGUCUCGAGUGCUUUGCCCCAGCGAGCAAACACUAGUUUCCGGUACCAUAAAUUCCGGAAAAUAGUUCGCGUACCAUCAUCAUGUAAACAGCGACGUUAGAGCCGGAGGAGCAAAGAACAAGCGUUAUUUAAAUACUCAAAUUAUUCCAAGCGUUUCUCGGUACAAGAUUUAUUUCCCUCGUUCCGAGAAAAGAAACGCGGCUGUAAAAUUCGCGGUAAAUUUUUCAAGCAAUUCCGCUUAAGAACAAAUUAAAGCGUGGUUCAAGCAUUCGUUGCUAAGAAUACGAUUCGGAUCGGAACCAAACGAAUCCGUUAUGCGCAAAGAAUACUCUUUAUUCGAAUUUGUAUGUUUCAAACAUACAAACAGGUACUCGAAACAGGACGUACCGGUUAAAUAGGUAAUUGGAUUUGCGAAAUCUUUGAAUGCGAUUCAUGCGGAAACAUUCGCGGUAACGAUUAAUAAUGAUUAGCAUAGAUUAGCGGAGGACAAUUGGCAACGUCAAUUACCCGAUUUCGCGUACGUUGAUAACAUCCAUUAUCCGUUAAAUUAUUUGGCCGCGGUUCACGUAAUUAAAGGGCGAAUCGCAUUAUCGUAACGAUUCCAGGGGGAAGACAAUGGAGACCGAUGGCCGGUCGAUAAAAAUCAGAUCGCGCGAGACGAUGUCCCACUUACGUUAGGCUUCCUUGUUCGAACAAGCCUCGGCCCGUCCUCGCGUCAUUCGGAACGGGCAUCCUUGCUCGAGCAGAAGUUAUAAUAAAUUCAAAGCGAACGAGGACACGACGCGACGCGAAGUCGAGUGCCGUCGCGAUUUUGCAUGGAAUAUUCCACGUACAAAUUCAAAGCUGCGCCUUCAAUCGGCUUUAAUAACGCGGACCUGCGUGUGUACAGAACGAAACGCGAGAACAACAUCGCGGACCAAACGGAUGGUAAAAAGAAGAUUUACAUCUCUCUAUUGACAAAUCCUUCGGCUUUCAACUGUGAACGAAAUAUAGAAACAUUAGUAACAGUGCUUUUCACAAGUUGUAUGAAUAGACUGGCAUACGUGAAAACUGAAUAUCGUGCAACUCUGAUGGACGACGGGCUGCAGUCGAACGUAUGAUUAAUAACCCACAGAAAUAAUUAGGAUGAUUUUCGAGAAGCAUCAUCUGGAAAAACGAAGAGGAGCACCGCCACUCGCGUUGGAGAGAAGAUAAUGAAUUACCUACCCCCUCGGGUGUUAUUAAGAUGAACGCCGAGAGUUCUCAAGGGCAGGAAAGAAACGGUGGUUCUUUAAUCACAUUAAGUAAAACGUCUUUGUAGUCUUCUACCGAGCUCGGAAUAAACAGCGUACCAAUUUUGAUUA